rnacentral:rRNA from 1 species
CCUAACACAUGCAAGUCGAACGGUAACAGGAAGGCAAGCUUGCUUCUUUGCUGACGAGUGGCGGACGGGUGAGUAAUGUCUGGGAAACUGCCUGAUGGAGGGGGAUAACUACUGGAAACGGUAGCUAAUACCGCAUAACGUCGCAAGACCAAAGAGGGGGACCUUCGGGCCUCUUGCCAUCGGAUGUGCCCAGAUGGGAUUAGCUAGUAGGUGGGGUAACGGCUCACCUAGGCGACGAUCCCUAGCUGGUCUGAGAGGAUGACCAGCCACACUGGAACUGAGACACGGUCCAGACUCCUACGGGAGGCAGCAGUGGGGAAUAUUGCACAAUGGGCGCAAGCCUGAUGCAGCCAUGCCGCGUGUAUGAAGAAGGCCUUCGGGUUGUAAAGUACUUUCAGCGGGGAGGAAGGGAGUAAAGUUAAUACCUUUGCUCAUUGACGUUACCCGCAGAAGAAGCACCGGCU